UACGUAGGUGGCAAGCGUUAUCCGGAAUUACUGGGCGUAAAGCGCACGCAGGCGGUCUUUUAAGUUUGACGUGAAAGCUCCCGGCUUAACUGGGAGAGGUCGUUGAAUACUGGAAGACUUGAGGAAAUGAGAGGGGUGUAGAAUUCCCGGUGUAGUGGUGGAAUGCGUAGAUAUCGGGAGGAACACCAGUGGCGAAGGCGGUUGCCUGGAGCUUUGCUGACGCUGAUGCGCGAAAGCGUGGGGAGCGAUCCGG
rnacentral:rRNA from 1 species